GACGAACGCUGGCGGCACGCCUAACACAUGCAAGUCGAACGGUGAAGAGAAGCUUGCUUCUCGGAUCAGUGGCGGACGGGUGAGUAACAUGUGAGGAACCUGCCUUUCAGAGGGGGAUAACGUUUGGAAACGAACGCUAAUACCGCAUAACAUAUUCGGACGGCAUCGUCUGAAUAUCAAAGGAGCAAUCCGCUGAAAGAUGGCCUCGCACCUGAUUAGAUAGUUGGUGAGGUAACGGCUCACCAAGUCGACGAUCAGUAGCCGGACUGAGAGGUUGAACGGCCACAUUGGAACUGAGAUACGGUCCAGACUCCUACGGGAGGCAGCAGUGGGGAAUAUUGGGCAAUGGGCGAAAGCCUGACCCAGCGACGCCGCGUGAGGGAAGAAGGAUCUUCGGAUUGUAAACCUUAGUCAACAGGGAAGAAGAAAGUGACGGUACCUGUGGAGGAAGCCACGGCUAACUACGUG
rnacentral:rRNA from 1 species